rnacentral:lncRNA from 1 species
AAGAAAAUAUCUCACAUCCUCUCGACCUCUCCCACUAACUCUACAACCUACUACCGCCAUCGCCUACUAACGUUGCUACUUACCGCCGCUGUCACCUCCCUCCACUCUCCACUUCUUUACUACCGCUUUAGACCGCCAGAAAACUCACCAACCGCCUCCAGCCUCUCAGAUCUGAAGUUUUCUAGUGACUUCAUCUUCUCCAGUUCAGAUGUACAAUCUCUAACGAUUAUCACCAUCGUCUAUGUCUGUCCUCUAUCGGUUCUCCAGUAAACUGAUGGCACCAACGACACCAAACAACCACCAGGUAUGUACCUAUUGUUGGUAGCUACUACCAUCACCAUCGAAUUGCAAGUAUCAUCGCCAAAACACCAGAUUUGACCUUCUACACCUUUAGAUCUGUGAUUUGUGCUUUUUCUCCGGAUCUCCGAUGUACAUAUUUGAUGAAGCACGAGAAAAACUAUCUGAUCCGCUUCUAUCUGACGAAGCAUAAAGCUCUUUGUCACCUCCAAAUGUUUGUCCUCCUCCAUAUCUACUUUUUUCUUCAGAGGACCACUAGAUAUUGCCUUUAUCUUCAUUCACACGAUAUCUGAUCAGAUCUGAUGUGGAUCUGAGCAUUUGGUGUUAUUUUACAAAUGUUUUUCUUUCUAUUUCAUCAUUUUGUCGUUGGAUCUACAUCAGAUAUGUUCUCCUACCGUAGGUGUCGUCGUCAAAGCAUCACAAAUCACAAUCGUAGUCAUAAUCGUAACCUACAAGGUGCUAAUCUUGAACUCGUUUUUUUUUCCAGAACUCUUGAACUUGUUUUUUCUCUUAUCUGUGCCAUCAUUGGCGAAAUAUUUGUCAAAUUUGUUCCAGAUCUGUUAUGCACCACCUCCUCAUCAUCUCUAACUCGUCUCCAUCUUUUUCUCUCUUAUCUUUGGUUGAAGCACCACCAAAUCGACAUCAGAUCUGAUGUUUUGGUGCAUUUUCAAGUAAAAUCUGGUGUUUGUUUUAUAUGGUGUAUCGGUGGUUGGUGGUGGUUCCACUACCGCAUCAGAUAUGGUCUCUAAUGAUGAUGUUUACAAAAGGAAGUUCUAAAAAAAGACACACACAAGGUGUUUGAUGAAACGCCUGAAUGAAAUUUGGUAAGUUAUUAAGUUGUGAAUGCAUACUUUGUGUGAAUGUCUCUGUAUAUUUGUUGUGUAUUAAACUGGGAGUUAAUGAAAUGCCGCAAUAAAUUCAUAAUUUUGUGUAUUAAAUUGUAAAUUUAUAUAAAGUUGUGAAUUGUGUGUAUUAAGUUGUGAUAUUUGUGUUUAAUCGUGUAUUAAAUGCAUUAAACUGUGAAUUUUUUGUUAAAAUUGUGAAUUAACUAUAUUAAAUUGUAAAUUUAUUAAAUUGUGAAUUGAUUGCAUUAAGCUAUGAAUUAACCAUAUUAAAAGUUUUAAGUUGAUAAUAUAGUUGUGAAUGUAUACUUUUUGUGUAUGAAAAUGUGAAUUUUAUGUAUUAAGAAAAGCUUGUAGAACUCGUUACUUGGUACAUGUUCGGCUGACUACCGAGCAGCGAGUACUCGGGAGUACUCGGAUUUGGAAAUUUGUGUAUAAAUAUUUUUAGGGAAAUUAUGUAUGUGAAAAUCAUAAGAUAAAAUCAUAAGUUGAUUGAAAUAUAUAACAAAAUUGGAUACAUAUGAAUACACAAAAAAUGAAAAACACGUAAUGGUCUCACUUCGUGAAUAAUGAUUGAAAAUUUAAGAUAUAUAUGUAGUAAAAAUCGCAUGUGUGUAUGUUAAACAAUAAAUCAUUAAGUACAUUAUACAUAUUAAUCACCGAUUUGACCGAAUUUCACAACACUACUCAGUUCAGUAAGGGGCGGAUCGAGGAGUACUCGGGAUUAUGUAACUCGCCUCGGCAAGGGGGGAGUAGCGAGUACUCGGAGGAGUAAUCGGUCAACUCGGCGAGUUUUACAACACUGUAUUAAGAUAUUAUUUUUGUGUUUUAAACUAUGAAUUGACUACAUUAAUAUGUAAAGUUUAUGUUUAAACUGUGAACUGCCUAUAUUAAGUUGUGAAUUUUUUGUAUUAAAAUAUAAAUUCACUGUAGUAAGUUGCAAAUUGACUGGUAUUAAGUUGUGAUUAAUUUAUAAUAUUUUUAUUUCCUUAUGCAAUAUAAGAUUUAAGAAAUAUUAUACACAAAUAUAAUUUUAUCUAAUUUUCAAUAAAGUAAGUAAAAUUUAAAUUGUGAAUAUUUAUGCUGAUAAACUUUGAAAGAUAUACUAGCAUAUAGAUAUGAAGAUAUAAAUGUAAGUUUUAAGCUGAGAAUAUAGUUAUGAAUGUAUAAUUUUGUGCGUUAAAAUGUGAAUUUAUUAUAUUAAGCUGUGAUUUUUUUGUAAUUAACUAAGAAUUAACUGUAAUAAGAUGUGAAUUUUUAAUGAAUUUUGUGUUAAAAUAUGAAUGAUUUAUGUAUGAACAUUUGUAUUAAUUUCCUUUGAAUAUAUGUAUUUUUUGUGUUGUAUAAAUAUGUAAGAAUGUAUUAGUUUUUAUAACUAUUUUGCAUUAAACUGUGAAUAAAUGAAUUAAUUAGUUUAUUAAGUUGCGAAUAUAAUAUUUAAGUUGUUAAUCAGUGANNAUAUAUAUAGAGAGAGAGAGAGAGAGAGAGAGAGAGAGAGAUCUUAUUUGGAAUGAAUGAUGGUUGCGAUGGUGACACAGGUGGUUGGUGG